UUCGAAGCCAGUUCCUUAUCAGCCUACAAAUAUGACAGUGAUACUUAAGUUACAGCAAAAACUGCAUUCCCUAAUUGAAAAACUGCUGAGAUUAAGUAUACCCUCUCUGCAAGAACCCUAAUUUCAUAAGCAACUACAUACAAAGCCUCCAUAGCCCAAGCCGAUUCCCAAUUUCGAAACUCCUGAACAAAAGCACUGCAUUCCCAGCAGUGAGACACACAAAUGCUCUAAUUAAUCGUAAAAACUAAAAUAAUGCAGUACAAUUAACAAGUUUGGUGAAUUCAAAGUACGAAAUUGAAAAAGAAAAUUUAAAUCAAUACUUGGCAUCUUUUUCCAAGGCGGAGUAAGUAUCGAACAGGUUCCCAACUCAAUAACUUUGCAGAGAGCGGAAAAGAGAAGCUGUCCUUUCCCCAAAUUGAUAGUACUUGUCCGAUUGCUUAGUCAAUCUAUUAGCGUCUCAGAAGACGAUGAGAGCGUCAGCGAGGGCUAGCAGAGAAGGAGAAUUGAAGGAGAAAAAGAGGAGGUGUUUUGAGUGAAGCUCCGUCUUGUGAGAAAACCGCGUCGAAGAAGCGGUUAAGGUAGUCCGUUAUUCUUCGGUGUGCCUCUCCCAUGCUGAGGUCAGCCAUUCUCUGGUUGACGAAAUCAGAUGGAUCCAACAAUAUCUUGAUGAAGUUGAUGAAUCCUUCUCCUCCUCCUCCCCAUGUGAUCUAUAGCAGAGCUUUUUUUUUUCACUUGUGUUCUGCGGGCCUGUACAUGGUUCUCGGUCCGAACCGAUUGGAAUUGAACCAUAUU
rnacentral:misc_RNA from 1 species